rnacentral:rRNA from 1 species
UACGUAGGUGGCAAGCGUUGUCCGGAAUUAUUGGGCGUAAAGCGCGCGCAGGCGGCCUCUUAAGUCUGAUGUGAAAGCCCCCGGCUCAACCGGGGAGGGCCAUUGGAAACUGGGAGGCUUGAGUAUAGGAGAGAAGAGUGGAAUUCCACGUGUAGCGGUGAAAUGCGUAGAGAUGUGGAGGAACACCAGUGGCGAAGGCGGCUUUUUGGUCUGUAACUGACGCUGAGGCGCGAAAGCGUGGGGAGCAAACAGG